rnacentral:rRNA from 1 species
UACGGAGGGUGCGAGCGUUGUCCGGAAUCACUGGGCGUAAAGGGCGCGUAGGCGGCCUCUGCAAGUCGACUGUGAAAUCUCCGGGCUUAACCCGGAAAGGUCAGCCGAUACUGCAGGGCUAGAGUGCAGAAGGGGCAACUGGAAUUCUCGGUGUAGCGGUGAAAUGCGUAGAUAUCGAGAGGAACACCUGCGGCGAAGGCGGGUUGCUGGGCUGACACUGACGCUGAAGCGCGAAAGCUAGGGGAGCGAACGGG